UGGGGAAUCUUGGACAAUGGGCGCAAGCCUGAUCCAGCCAUUCCGCGUGGAUGAUGAAGGCCCUAGGGUUGUAAAAUCCUUUCGGCAGGGAAGAUAAUGACGGUACCUGCUAAAGAAGCCCCGGCUAACUCCGUGCCAGCAGCCGCGGUAAUACGGAGGGGGCUAGCGUUGUUCGGAAUUACUGGGCGUAAAGCGCGCGUAGGCGGAUCGAUCAGUCAGAGGUGAAAUCCCGGAGCUCAACUUCGGAACUGCCUUUGAUACUGUCGAUCUGGAGUCCGGGAGAGGUGCAUGGAAUUCCGAGUGUAGAGGUGAAAUUCGUAGAUAUUCGGAGGAACACCAGAGGCGAAGGCGAUGCACUGGACCGGUACUGACGCUGAGGUGCGAAAGCGUGGGGAGCAAACAGG
rnacentral:rRNA from 1 species